UACGAAGGGUGCAAACGUUGCUCGGAAUCAUUGGGCGUAAAGCGCACGUAGGCGGCUUCAAAAGUCGGAUGUGAAAUCCCGUGGCUCAACCAUGGACGUGCAUUCGAAACUGCGAAGCUUGAGUAUGGAAGAGGGUCGCGGAAUUCCCGGUGUAGAGGUGAAAUUCGUAGAUAUCGGGAGGAACACCGGUGGCGAAGGCGGCCACCUGGACGGUAACUGACGCUAAGACGCGAAAGCGUGGGGAGCAAACAGG
rnacentral:rRNA from 1 species